UGAUAAAGUUUUAUCGCAUUUAUACGUAGUACAUAUACAUGCAUAUCCGAUUUCUAAAAUACCAUAUAUUUUCUUUCAAAGUGCAUUUACGUAUUUUUCCACCUACAAGUCUCCGGAUAGAGAUCUCCUCAACCAAAGAAGUUCAAAGGAUUCAAGUGACAAGGCUAGGGCCACGAUUGACACAAAUCAACACCCCCUCCCAAACUAAGAAUUUUUCUUUGAGUACAGGAUUGACAGGAAUUAGGAGAAGAUGACAUCGAAGCGAGCUUCCGGUGGAGGCGUCACAAGAUCCAUCACUACGCCAUGAGCCAAAAUAACCUUCUCCUAUUCUAUUUUGUUAUCUUGGCUUAUUCAUCUCUGAACGUUCCAUUUAAAUUUGCAGGUAUCUCCAGAAGCAGGGUCAAGGUCGAUUACUCGAGAGAUGGGGCCCCCCGUAGCAGCCUUGUUCCUUAAUAAAAACUUCGCCAAUCGGAGAUCUACAAUCUAAUUGCGACUAACUCCGCCAAUCGGAGAUCUACAAUCUAAUUGCGACUAACUCCGCCAAUCGGAGAUACAAUCUAAUUGCGACUAACUCCGCCAAUUGAAGAUACAAUCUAACUGCGACUAACUCCGCCAAUUGAAGACACAAUCUAACUGCGUCAAAUAACUCCGCCAAUUGGAGAUACGAUCUAACUGCGACUAACUCCGCCAAUCGAAGAUACAAUCUAACUGCGACUAACUUCGCCGGUCAGAGAUACCAUCUAAUUGCGUCGACUAACUUCACCAAUCGAGGAUACCGUCUAAAAAUGCCAAUUACCCCGCCAAUCGGGGACCGUCGUGUAACUUCGUCAAUAACUCUUUGAUUGAUAUGGUGGCAGAGCCGAAAAGAGUCGAUGGGAGGUUAUUUCAACCUUUGUAGAAGAGGAACGCGAUGAACCGCUGGUCUCAAGUUCGCCUCUCCUUCGACCCGGUGGGUAUAGGUUCGUUCAACCAUCAGACUCGAAAACCUUGGAGAAAUCUCCAAAUUCGGAGUCCCAAUAAACCUCCAGAUUUCAAAUUUCAAAUCAUCUCUGGAAAAGGUGAUUUCUUUCUCUUUCAUUCAUGGUUUCCUUUUGUUUGAAUUUUAUUUCAAACGAUUUCCCCUUUUUUUUUUGUGUGGUUUUCAAGGAUGAAUCUGAGUUCCCAUUUUUCAGCUAUAAAUACAGCCCCUCUAUGGGCUGUUAAGGAGAGGAGAUCAAUCGGAGGAAAAAAAAACCUUCACUUUCACAAAGUUCAGAGGUUCAAAGUUUCCCCUUUGGACACAAAUCUUGAGCAAGUUAACCAUUAAAAAAAUCCCCUUUUUCUAAGUCUUCAACAGUUGAAAAUACACCUUUGAACACAAGCUUCGAUCCUCAUAUAAAAGGAAAAAAAAGUCCCUUUUAUUCUAAGCUUUUGGCUAUCAAAUUUUUUUUUUACUCUACGCUUUUGGCCAUCCAGAAAAAUACUUAGGCUUCAGUUUUUUACUAGUCGCAACAACAAAAACUAUUCCGAGUGGAUUCAGAGACUCGACGACGACACUAGCCUCAGUUCGCUGUCCCGGAAAAGGAGUUGUAUGACAACUCCAAGACUGCUCGGAAAUAGAGAAACAGUAGCUGCACUCGCGUGCUCGUGUCUAACAGUCUUCGUUCGUGUCAAGCGUUUCGGUCUUCCUUCCUCUCUUUAAAUUUCGUGUCUUUGUGUUAUCAUAUAUAUACAUGUUUAUAUUCUUGACUAACAUUUUUUAUGGAUUGUAUUUGUAGCACAUUUGUUUCUUGCUUGUGUAGGAACUUAUGGAAAAA